rnacentral:rRNA from 1 species
CCUACGGGAUGCAGCAGUGAGGAAUAUUGGUCAAUGGACGAGAGUCUGAACCAGCCAAGUAGCGUGAAGGAUGACUGCCCUAUGGGUUGUAAACUUCUUUUAUAUGGGAAUAAAAUGUUCCACGUGUGGGAUUUUGUAUGUACCAUAUGAAUAAGGAUCGGCUAACUCCGUGCCAGCAGCCGCGGUAAUACGGAGGAUCCGAGCGUUAUCCGGAUUUAUUGGGGUUAAAGGGAGCGUAGGUGGAUUGUUAAGUCAGUUGUGAAAGUUUGCGGCUCAACCGUAAAAUUGCAGUUGAAACUGGCAGUCUUGAGUACAGUAGAGGUGGGCGGAAUUCGUGGUGUAGCGGUGAAAUGCUUAGAUAUCACGAAGAACUCCGAUUGCGAAGGCAGUUCACUGGACUGCAACUGACACUGAGGCUCGAAAGUGUGGGUAUCAAACAGGAUUAGAUACCCUUGUAGUC